rnacentral:rRNA from 1 species
CAGUCGCCGCGGUAACACGGAGGGGGCUAGCGUUGUUCGGAAUUACUGGGCGUAAAGCGCACGUAGGCGGCUUGGUAAGUUAGAGGUGAAAGCCCGGAGCUCAACUCCGGAAUUGCCUUUAAGACUGCCGAGCUAGCAGGUGAGAGAGGUAAGUGGAAUUCCGAGUGUAGAGGUGAAAUUCGUAGAUAUUCGGAAGAACACCAGUGGCGAAGGCGGCUUACUGGCUCAUACUGGACGCUGAGGUGCGAAAGCGUGGGGAGCAAACAGGAUUAGAUACCCCCGUAGUCCCUGUCUCUUAUAC